ACGAAGAGGCUGCCAUCAUCGGUUGGGCCUCCUACCGACAUCCUUUCUGAAAUCCGACACCGGAUUCAGACUCCCCACCCUUGUAAACCCCGAAAGCGACCCUCCUUGCAGUGAAAUCCGUCGCCGGCAGCCUCGAGAAGCUUCACCGGAGAAUCACUUUUCCGACCCCGAUAUGGUGCCUUCCGGCCAUUUUUCGGCCGAAGCUCUUAUAUCUUCGGACUCACUGCAACUCAAGCUUCGCGUAGGCGCUUCAGGAUUCGAAUUUCGACACUGUUGGCAAGACUGGCUUCCGGACCCCAGUGCUUUUCGGACGCGUGAAACAUUGCAAUUUCGAUUCGGUGACAGUUAGAGUUCUUUGCCAUCCUGUAUUUUGACAGCCCGACUUCUUUCUUCAUCGAGCUUAUUGUAAAUAAUCUAUACUUUCAUAUUUUUAGUUAUUUUAUACUCUGCAAUAGAAUAUUUUGAUUUGUUAUGAUGUUAUCACAGACGAGUUAGAUUUAUAUAUGACAUGUCAGUCAUGAUUAAUAUUA